rnacentral:rRNA from 1 species
GCAAGUCGAACGGUAACAGGAAAGAGCUUGCUUUUUUGCUGACGAGUGGCGCACGGGUGCGUAACGCGUAUACAAUCUACCUUUUACAGGGGGAUAGCCUUUAGAAAUGAAGAUUAAUACCCCAUAGUAUCUAUAUUUCGCAUGGAAAUUAGAUUAAAGAUUCGUCGGUAAAAGAUGAGUAUGCGUUCUAUUAGCUAGAUGGUGUGGUAACGGCACACCAUGGCAACGAUAGAUAGGGGCCCUGAGAGGGGGAUC